rnacentral:rRNA from 1 species
GACAGAGGGUGCAAACGUUGUUCGGAAUUACUGGGCGUAAAGCGUGUGUAGGCGGUCCUCUAAGUCGGAUGUGAAAUCCCUGGGCUCAACCCAGGAAGUGCACUCGAAACUGGAGGGCUAGAGUAUCGGAGAGGUUGGUGGAAUUCUCGGUGUAGAGGUGAAAUUCGUAGAUAUCGAGAGGAACACCGGUGGCGAAGGCGGCCUUCUGGACAGUGACUGACGCUGAGACGCGAAAGCGUGGGGAGCAAACAGG